UCUGCCUCCCUCACCCAGCACAGUGAGCAUGUCCUUCUGUGUGGUUCAGUCAGCCUCCUGCCUCCUGACCUGGCUCUUACCCAGAAGAUUAUCUCCAGUAUAUGCAAGGCUGACCUUGAACUCUACAUAGCCAAGGACCCUCCUGCUCUCUUGAACUCAGGAACAUAAUGGAGUCAAGUACUGAAAAUUGAACCUAAAGCAAGUUUUCUACCAUAGAACUUCGUCAUCAGCCCUUGUCAGUAUUUGUACUUUAGUCAGAGUUGUGAAUAUCAUUUUUGCUCUAGGCAGCUGCCAAAGGGCUGUGUACUUCUGUGUGCCUUGCAACCAGAUGUGGUCACGUAUAUGACCUCUGGCCAGUGACAUAAGCUUCAGAACACUUAUGAGAAGAUAACCAGGACAAUCUUGACCCUUACAUUGACCUAAAAAAUGGGAGCUAUCAUCUGGACCGCUUUCUUGGAGUCCUUUUAUGUGGCCUAAUAAGUGAAAAAAAACCCCGCUAUUGUUCAGGGAAAAUCAAAUCAAAACGUUUAUUUAAUUUGAACCUGCCUGUUUCUGGGAUCUAUAUGAAAAGUGAAAGAUUAUCAGUAGCUGUGGCUGGAGAGAUGACUCAAUGGGCAAGACCACUCUUGCAGAAGAACAUUGCAGUUCCCAACCGCCUGAAAUUCACACACACUUGGGACCAUGUUACAGGAGCCUUCCUAGCACUGUUGUCUGAGUAGUGAAAAGAGUAGGAAAAUUACCUAAAUAAUGUAUACUUACAGAUUGGACUAAAAGACAGCACAAUAAAUAAGGACUUACACUCCAACAACAGUAUGAAUUAAUUUUAGAAAUUUAGUGGCCAUUAAAAAAAAUAAAAGCCUCAAAGUAUGCCUUUUAAUUACAAUGUAUG